UACGUAGGGGGCAAGCGUUGUCCGGAUUUAUUGGGCGUAAAGAGCAUGUAGGCGGCCAUACAGGUCAGCUGUGAAAACUCGAGGCUCAACCUCGAGACGUCGGUUGAAACCGUAUGGCUAGAGUCCGGAAGAGGAGAGUGGAAUUCCCGGUGUAGCGGUGAAAUGCGCAGAUAUCGGGAAGAACGCCCGUGGCGAAAGCGAGCCCCUGGACGUCAUCUGACACUGAGACGCGAAAGCCAGGGGAGCGAACGGG
rnacentral:rRNA from 1 species